rnacentral:rRNA from 1 species
AUUGAACGCUGGCGGCAGGCCUAACACAUGCAGGUCGAGCGGGGUUUUCGGACCUAGCGGCGGACGGGUGAGUAAUGCGUAGGAAGCUGCCCGAUAGAGGGGGAUACCAGUUGGAAACGACUGUUAAUACCGCAUAAUGUCUACGGACCAAAGUGUGGGACCUUCGGGCCACAUGCUAUCGGAUGCGCCUACGUGGGAUUAGCUAGUUGGUGAGGUAAUGGCUCACCAAGGCGACGAUCUCUAGCUGGUUUGAGAGGAUGAUCAGCCACACUGGAACUGAGACACGGGCCAGACUCCUACGGGAGGCAGCAGUGGGGAAUAUUGGACAAUGGGCGCAAGCCUGAUCCAGCCAUGCCGCGUGUGUGAAGAAGGCCUUCGGGUUGUAAAGCACUUUCAGCGAGGAGGAAGGGGUGUGUGUUAAUAGUACACACCUUUGACGUUACUCGCAGAAGAAGCACCGGCUAACUCUGUGCCAGCCGCCGCUGUAAUAC